CCUCUCUGAGCCUUUGUUCCUGAGGGGCCUCGGGGGAAACCAUGGAUGUGAAAGAAUGCUGCGGAAUGCAGCGCAGGAGUGAGGCUGCAAUGGUCACUCGCUCACUCAGUGGGUGCACAUGCUCUGCCCUGCUCACAGCAGGCCCCUUCUCGGCACUGGGGUUCCAGUUGUGAACAAGAAGGUCAGAAUCCUGAUCUCAGGGCGCUGACAAUCUAGAGAGGGAGGCAGACAGUGAGCAGUGCGAUCAUGACCGAAUGCAGGGUGAAGGUGCAGUGCUGCGGAGAAAAUCUGGGUGACGGGAUGGAGACUAACGGGAAGGGGGGUCCCACAGGAGCCAGGCUGGAGAGGAGAUAUUUAAAUGGAAUGAAUACAGGGACCAUACAAUGUGCCUGGGGAUGGGAGGGGGAAGAGAGAGAAGAGAGGACAUUCCAGGAACAGCAAGCGCACAGGCCCUGAGGCAGGAGUUGCCUGGUGAGUUUGAGGAGUGCUCAGGCCAGCGGAGGGGAAAGUGGACAGUGGGAGAUGAGGCCAGGGCAGGGUUGGGGCCAGGCCAGGUGUGGCAGUGGGUGAGGACUGAGAGUGAGCUGGACCUUCCUGGUGGGUUUGGAGCAGAGCAGGGUGGCCCCAUUGCUGCCGUGCACAGGAUGAAGCAGGGGCAGCAGCUCACCGCCCUGGGCUCUGUCUUCUUCUUCCCACGGUCCCCUGAUUUGCCUCCCGAGUGAGGGAACCUGGCACUCUGGGGCUCCCUCCUUCCCAUUGUGGUCCAGGUGUCCUAGCCCCAUUGGUUUAUUCCACCCCAGAGUUUUCUGCCUGGACCACGCUCCAGCAUCC
rnacentral:lncRNA from 1 species